AUUUUAUUUUUAUUAUCCGUAACUACGGCAAAAACCUUUGCGUCGUACUUUCUUUCACAUUCUUUUAUAGUAGCUUCCACAACCUCAGCACAUCUUUUCUUCUCUGAUCCAGAAUUGUAAGCAUUAAAAAGAAAACUUUUAUUACCCAUAUGCAAACUUAUUGCCUGGAUGGGAUCAUUUCGAACAUUUGACCAGCUAUCUAACACAUAUUUUGGUAUUGGAUGAUAAAUGUUGCAAAGACUUCUGAAAUUGAUGCGCAAAUAGAGUGCAAUAAAGUAUCUCUAUACAUCUCUAUAUAUCUAAAAAAAUAAGUGACCUAAAUAGGAAAGAUACAACUGGCAAGAAAGAAGCCAAUGUGUCCAAGCAAAAAGAUAUGAAAAAUAGCAAGGCUGCCAAAGUUGUCAAAGAAUCUGUAGAAUCUGCAAAAAA
rnacentral:lncRNA from 13 species